UCCAUUCCUGUAUCUCCUCCGUCA
rnacentral:siRNA from 1 species